rnacentral:rRNA from 1 species
UACAGAGGUCCCAAGCGUUGUUCGGAUUCAUUGGGCGUAAAGGGUGCGUAGGCGGGUCUUUAAGUCAGGGGUGAAAUCCUGGAGCUCAACUCCAGAACUGCCUUUGAUACUGAAGAUCUUGAGUUCGGGAGAGGUGAGUGGAACUGCGAGUGUAGAGGUGAAAUUCGUAGAUAUUCGCAAGAACACCAGUGGCGAAGGCGGCUAACUGGCCCGAUACUGACGCUGAGGCACGAAAGCGUGGGGAGCAAACAGG